rnacentral:lncRNA from 1 species
GGGCAAUAACUCCAUAAAAGUUGACUGAAUUUUCUGAAGUUUUAGGAAAUAGACCUUGAACUGCAGAUAAAUUCCGGUCAGAUUUGCUGGAACUGCUCUAGUUUUUGACAUGAAAGCCUCUAACUUUGAAAUUGACAAAAACUGACAUUUCAGGUAAAAUAACUCCUAAAUGAAAUGUCCAACUUUUUCUGAUAAUUCAACAGAGUAUAUACCUGGACCUCAUGAUGAUUUUUAUCCAUGAAUGAUUUUCUCUAACUGAUUUUUUUUUUUUUAUAUAUAUUUGCCAAAAGCAGUAUUUCCUCAUUGUUCUAUAGCAGUGGCCAUGUUUGGUGAUGG